AAGCCCGAAAGCUCAACUAGCCGAGACAGACGCGCACCAAAAAGUCGAAUCGUUCCGGAGCGGAACACUUGGGCCCCGCGAGCAAUGCGGCCACAACAGCCACAGCAUCAGCAGCAACGUCAGCUGGAGGCGGCGCCGAACGCGAACCCGGAUCCUGCGCAGUCAGGGGAGGCGCCGCCAAAGCAGGUAGCUCUGGCCAUGGACAGGCUAGGCGACGCGGCGCGCCUCAUUGCCGACAUCAGGCUUGGCGCCGACCGCCUCCUCGAAGCCCUCUUCGUCGCCGCCCAGCCCCACCAGAGCACCAAGCCCCUCCAUCUGUUCCGCAAAGAGGACGCCUCCAUGCGCCAGCACCUCCAAGACCUCCGCUCCGUCGGAAGGCAGCUAGAGGAGUCUGGGGUUCUGAACGAAUCGCUUCGAUCACGAAGCAAUUCGUGGGGGCUGCACAUGCCGUUGGUCUGCCCGGAUGGCGCUGUGGUUGCAUACGCUUGGAAACGCCAGCUUGCCGGCCAGGCCGGUGCGUCCGCCGUCGAUAGGACGAGGUUGGCUCUCAAGGCCUUCACUGAUCAGAAAAGAAGAUUUUUUCCUCACCUUGAUGAUGGAUUAGAUGGUCAAAGUACCGAAUCAGCUUUAAAGAAACAUUGUGGUCCCCAAGUACUGAUGGGAAAUCAUCAAGAAGAGCUUAGUGAUUAUAAGACAAUAUCAGAUGUUCUACUGCAUUUGGAAAAAGAAGUGCCAACUUUGAAAGUUUUCACUUAUGAACGAUUGGACUGGUUGAAAAGAGCAUCUUCACUGCCCUCUUCAGCAAAUGAGACUUCCAUAGGGACAUCUAAAGAGCAUAAUUUUCACAGUUCAAAUAAACUUAGACCAGGAUCUCUGAGUCCUGUUGCUACAGAGAAAAUUUCUGUAAUUGAGUUGCUCUUUCCCUCCAUCUUCAGAGCUAUUGUAUCACUGCAUCCAGCUGGUUCUAUUGACCCUGACUCAGUCGCUUUCUUUUCUCCGGAUGAGGGAGGCAGCUACAUACAUUCUAGGGGUUUUUCCGUUUAUCAUGUAUUUAGACGCAUCACGGAGCAUGCUGCUAUGGCUCUGCAGUAUUUUCUUGGAAGUCGAGCUGAAACAGCUCUACAUUCUCUUCUGCACUGGAUCUGUAGCUAUCAAACUUUAUUUACGAAGGUUUGCAGCAAGUGUGGACGCCUUCUAUUGAUGGACAGAAAAUCCGCUUUGCUGUUACCUCCUGUUUAUCGUCCUUACCGGCAAUUUUCUGCAUUGAAAAUUUCAUCCACCCAACCCAAUUCCUCAGCAAAGGACACGAGUUCUGAUCUAGCCCAGGCUUAUCAUGUUGGUUGCUUUUCAGAGGAAGCAUAGUCACAUUACAUAUACUGAGAUUGAGAAACUUCAGCCGUGGCCCUUGCCGCCGAAUGAUGCAUACGAUCCUGCUACAUAUAGAUCUUGUUCCUAGAGAGCUGUGCCCGAUGUGAGUGUUAGUCAAGUCCAUGACAACUUUCAGAUGAAGUGACCAUUCUGAAGAUUCCAAGGAAUUGGAGGGGACCCCAAACCCUUUAGCUAUUGAGCUAGACAUGAAUGGUUCAUCUAUUUAUUAUUUUCAAUUUUCAAAAGUCCACUCGAUAUUAGUCCAUGUCUGC